rnacentral:lncRNA from 1 species
UGGGUUCCGUCUUCUGCUGGUUCUUCCUUUUUAUUUUGUUUUCAUUUUCUUUUCCUUUUCUUUUUCUUAGUUAUUUUGGAGAUACAACAUAGAGCUCAAGGAGUUAGCAAAGGAUUUGGCAAAGCAUUGGGGAAAAUCAUAGCCAAUCUACAAAAAAGGGUUUUAUCUAUAUCUUUGUAUUUUCUCCAUUAUUUAGCCAUAUUUGUAAUACUUUGGAUGAAUAUUCUCCUUGAUUAUCAUUUAUUUAACAUGGGCUAAGUAUUGAGUUGGGAUUUAUGGUGUUAGUUUAACCUAGUUUUAAUUGAUUUUCAAUAUUUGCUCUUUAAUGUUAAGUUGCUUAUUUCAUGUGUUUCUAUUAUUGUAUUUAUUGCAUUUUCAUUUAUGUGGCCAAUGAAUGAAUGCGUUUCGUGAAGUGUACAUCGUUCGAGAGAAGAUUGUGCAUUUUAGACUAAAUGGUAGGAACCUUAGGUUUGCGUAGUGGAUAGAGAUAUAACUCUAGCCCUAGGUGAUCUAAGGAGCUAUUUUCACAACAAUUUAAUGCGGUUGUUUGGCUGUAAUCGACAUAGAGAUAUAGUAGGUUAAACCAAUCAAUUAGGGUUAAUUUCACUCGAGAGAGGUAAUUAGCUAAAAUUGGAAGAUCAGGUCUAACAUCAUAAAUGAGUAGCGUGUUAAUUGGCAUGUGGAGAAAUUGAUUAGGCGACGGUUAAAUGAAACCAUGAAUCCCAACCACUUUUCCUCCGAAAUUUUCAAGACUUUAUUAUUUUCUUAGUUAGUAUAUUUUUCCUUAUUUUCUAAAAUCAACUCUUUAUUGUGUGUUUGUUUAUUUUCAUUGUUAGAAUUAAAUUGUAACGCCCCGAAUUCUUGGAAACCAAAGCGUUAAAAUAAUAUUCGUUUCUCUCUUUGGUUCGACCCCUUUGACGCUAGCCAAAGUAUUUUAUAAAUCCAAGUUUUUUUUUAAAAUAUAUAAAAAUAUAAUGGAAGGUAGUUAUCUAUAACUUAGGCAAAUGUAGCAAAAUUUGAUUUUGUAAAAGAUUUGAAGACAAAUCGACAGUUACGGAAUUAACGACAACGGAAGAAAAAUAAAUUUGGCCUAGCAAAUGUCUAUUAAAAUUUAUGAAAUUUUUACAGGGACUAAAUCAUUCGUAUGUGUACCACAUAUAAAAAUUUGGGGUCUCGACAAUAAUGUUUGAAGCAAGAAAAUGUUGCUCUAAAAUGCUGGACAAAAAACUCGGAUUUGUAACGACGUAGUUUACUAAAAUGAGCAUAACCUUUUCUCUAGAUAAUAUUUUAAGGAAAUUCAAAAGGCUAAGAUUAGAAGAUUCAUGGAUAUUUCAAACUCAUCUAAUUUCACUUUAAAACAUGCACUGCAGCCCAAGUUAUGCUAUUUUCAACUAGAUGGACAGAAACUGAAAUUUCCACCCAGCAUAAAAUAAAACUUCAUACAAAUCAAUCCAACACUUUUAAAUUCUUGUUAACAUGCACUGUCUAAAAAUGUAACAAAAUAAACAUUAAAAGAAUUUCUAAAAGUUCAUCUAAGAUCCAUAAAAUAUUUACAAAAUGGAAAUCUUUACUAUGAAGUGAAAGCAUUUCAGAUCGCCGAACACUUGCCACCACGCCAACCACCACCAUGCCUCGAUCUUAACCUAUAAAAUUUUUAGAAAGGGGUGAGUACUAUAAAUAAUACUCAGUAGGAAACACUUAAGUAAACGGUAAAAAUAUAUAUUUUCAGAAAUGCAAACUUUGAUCAAUUGUGUCACCGUCAAUUUCAAGCGAAUUGGUGAUCAAUCAGUCUGCUUACUCUUAGGUUUUGAUAACCCCAUUUCUUUUGUCAUAAUCAUCUCUUCAUCUCUUGUUUAAACCACCAAUGGUGAUUCCAUCAUGAGCAACACAAUAACACAUUUAAUGCAAACGAAAAUAUAUAAAUCUUACAUCACUUACAUAAGUGCCGAAACACCCCUACCUUAAUGCUUGGAAUUUGAAUACCGUUUUGCGUUCAACAAGAAGUAAAAAUGCAGCGUACUUCCUUGCCUUUUCUUGAAAUGAAAUUUUCAGAUAUAAGAUGCUUUAUGUCUAGGGAAGAAGGGAAAAAUAAUUUUAUGCGGUUAAAGGAGGUGAAAUUUGGCUUUCACAAUACAAUAUGGCUUGUAAAACUAAAAAGGGACAGGUUUCUGUAUUUUUCUCAUGGUGUGGCCGUGUAGAAAUAUAAAAUGGGAGUUACAAAUUUUCAAUUGCAAUGGUGGUGGGAGUUGUAUUUAAAAUUGGAGGUUACACUUGAGGAAAUAGGGGUGGUUGAAAUUUUAAAAUGUUAACUUCCAAAUGGAUAUGGAUAGGGACGUGUAGGUUAUCAUCCCACUAAUCAAAUGGUAGUUUAAAAAAAAAUGGCAGUUUUCUUCUUAUUUAUUUAUUUGUAUAUUUUUUUUUGUUAAUCAAAAAUGGGGUUUAAUAAUUAAGGUAAGUUGGGAUGGUUAAUGUACUAUACAAUAGGUUUUCUAAUCUAACUUUCAAAGAUUUAAUAGAUAUACAAUAAAAUGUGUGUCAUCAAAACAAAGUAACAAAUAAAAUUUGUCGUCUAAAGAGAUUUUAGCACCUUGUAAAAUUUAAGAAAAUCAAGUACGCGGAAUUUUACUUUCGUGACUAAAAUUUAAUUUGGACUAUUAGGAAGUGUUGUAGCGACAUAAUAAUAUAACCCAAAUUAUAUUUGAGUCCUAUAAGAAAAUUUUAUUUGAAACGAAACAAAACGCUUUUUUUUUUCGGUCGCUACAUAAAUUGAUUAAAGCUGUAUAAUUUAAAGUAAACAUUCCUCGAGGGAUCGACAAUCCGGACUUAAAAGGUCCACUUUAUUACUUGAACUCGACCCGUGCACUUGCGGUAGUAUUUUAGCGAACAAGUUUUUGACGCCAUUGCCGGGAAGUGUUUUAUUUCAAUUAUUAUCUUUUGUUAAUUCUAAUUUUGUUCUUUUUUCUUUUGCAUAGCUUUUAUAUAUUUAUUGUGUAAUUAACUUUUAAUUUUGAUUUCCUUAGGUCUUUAGUGGUGCAUGCUUCGUUCGAGAAGUUUUGAUCUUUUCGAGCUUGAUCCGGAUAUUGAAAAAACUUUUCAAAGAAGGCGACGGGAACAAAGAGAAUUGAGAAGGCAACAGUUGAUUGAGAUGGCACACCAAGGGGGUAAUUUGGAACAUAAUGCUCAACCG